AUUGAACGCUGGCGGCAGGCCUAACACAUGCAAGUCGAACGGAUGAAGGGAGCUUGCUCCUGGAUUCAGCGGCGGACAGGUGAGUAAUGCCUAGGAAUCUGCCUGGUAGUGGGGGAUAACGUCCGGAAACGGGCGCUAAUACCGCAUACGUCCUGAGGGAGAAAGUGGGGGAUCUUCGGACCUCACGCUAUCAGAUGAGCCUAGGUCGGAUUAGCUAGUUGGUGGGGUAAAGGCCUACCAAGGCGACGAUCCGUAACUGGUCUGAGAGGAUGAUCAGUCACACUGGAACUGAGACACGGUCCAGACUCCUACGGGAGGCAGCAGUGGGGAAUAUUGGACAAUGGGCGAAAGCCUGAUCCAGCCAUGCCGCGUGUGUGAAGAAGGUCUUCGGAUUGUAAAGCACUUUAAGUUGGGAGGAAGGGCAGUAAGUUAAUACCUUGCUGUUUUGACGUUACCAACAGAAUAAGCACCGGCUAACUUCGUG
rnacentral:rRNA from 1 species